rnacentral:rRNA from 1 species
UCAAGUUAUUAAGGGUGCAGGGCGGAUGCCUUGGCACUAGGAGCCGAUGAAGGACGUGAUAAGCUGCGAUAAGCUUCGGGGAGUUGCACGUAAACUUUGAUCCGAAGAUUUCCGAAUGAGGAAACUCACUUAGAGUAAUGUCUAAGUAUCAUUAAGUGAAUACAUAGCUUAAUGAGGGGAACUCAGGGAACUGAAACAUCUAAGUACCUGAAGGAAGAGAAAGAAAUUCGAUUCCGUAAGUAGCGGCGAGCGAACGCGGAUUAGCCCAAACCAAUAAAGUUUUCUUUAUUGGGGUUGCGGACAUAUCAUAACGAAGAGGUAUCGUAAUUGAAGAGGUUUGGAAAGACCCACCACAGAAGGUAAUAGUCCUGUAUGUUAAACGAGAAGACUUUAGAUAUGAUCCAGAGUACCACGGGACACGUGAAACCCUGUGGGAAGCAGGAGGGACCACCCUCCAAGGCUAAAUACUACCUAGUGACCGAUAGCGUAUAGUACCGUGAGGGAAAGGUGAAAAGAACCCCGGGAGGGGAGUGAAAUAGAACCUGAAACCCUGCACUUACAAGCUGUGGAAGCACAUUUCUUGUGUGACCGCGUACUUUUUGUAGAACGGGCCAACGAGUUACGUUAAGUAGCAAGGUUAAGCACUUAAGGUGUGGAGCCGUAGCGAAAGCGAGUUUUAACUGAGCGUUCAGUUACUUGACGUAGACCCGAAACCGGGCGACCUACCCAUGAGCAGGAUGAAGCGAAAGUAAAAUUUCGUGGAGGUCCGAACCCACGAGCGUUGAAAAGCUCGGGGAUGACUUGUGGGUAGCGGUGAAAUUCCAAUCGAGCCCGGAGAUAGCUGGUUCUCCCCGAAAUAGCUUUAGGGCUAGCCUCAAGGUGAGAGAUACGGAGGUAGAGCACUGAAUGUCCUAGGGGGUAUUGCACCUACCGAAGACUAUCAAACUCCGAAUGCCGUCAUCUUAUACUUGGGAGUCAGACUGUGGGUGAUAAGAUUCAUAGUCGAAAGGGCAACAGCCCAGAUCGUCAGCUAAGGUCCCUAAAUGUAAGUUAAGUGGUAAAGGAUGUGGGAUUGCACAGACAACCAGGAUGUUGGCUUAGAAGCAGCCACUCAUUCAAAGAGUGCGUAAUAGCUCACUGGUCGAGUGAUUCUGCGCCGAAGAUUUCCGGGGCUAAAACUUACUACCGAAGCUACGGCAUCAGUAAUGAUGGGUAGGGGAGCUUCCCAUACGGGUUGAAGCAUGACCGUAAGGACAUGUGGACAGUAUGGGAGUGAGAAUGUUGGCAUGAGUAGCGAGAUGUGGGUGAGAAUCCCACAGGCCGUAAACCCAAGGUUUCCAGGGGAAGGUUCGUCCGCCCUGGGUUAGUCGGGACCUAAGCUGAGGCCGAAAGGCGUAGGUGAUGGACAACAGGUUGAUAUUCCUGUACUACCGAUAACCGUUUGAGAGAAGGGAUGACACAGUAGGAUAAGCUAAGCACACUGUUGGUUAUGUGUGCCCAAGCAUUGAGGCAGUCAAAGUAGGCAAAUCCGCUUUGAUAAUGCUGGGAUGUGAUGGGGAGCGAAAUUUAGUAGCGAAGUAGCUGAUUUCACACUGUCAAGAAAAGUCUCUAUCGAGGUUAAAGGUACCCGUACCGCAAACCGACACAGGUGGGUGAGGAGAGUAUCCUAAGGCCAGCGAGAGAACUGUUGUUAAGGAACUCGGCAAAAUGACCCCGUAACUUAGGGAUAAGGGGUGCCACCAUCAGGUGGCCGCAGAGAAUAGGCCCAAGCGACUGUUUACCAAAAACAUAGGUUUCUGCUAAGUCGCAAGACGAUGUAUAGGAGCUGACGCCUGCCCGGUGCUGGAAGGUUAAGGGGAUCUGUUAGAGCAAUCGAAGCAGUGAACUUAAGCCCCAGUAAACGGCGGCCGUAACUAUAACGGUCCUAAGGUAGCGAAAUUCCUUGUCGGGUAAGUUCCGACCCGCACGAAAGGCGUAACGAUUUGGGCACUGUCUCAACAACAGACUCGGUGAAAUUGUAAUUCCGGUGAAGAUGCCGGAUACCUGCGACAGGACGGAAAGACCCCAUGGAGCUUUACUGUAGCUUGACAUUGGGUCUUGGUACUACAUGUACAGGAUAGGUGGGAGGCUUUGAAACCAGGACGCCAGUUUUGGCGGAGCCAUCCUUGGGAUACCACCCUUGUAGUACUGGGACUCUAACCAUAGGCCAUGAAUCUGGUCUUGGGACACUGUCAGGUGGGCAGUUUGACUGGGGCGGUCGCCUCCCAAAAGGUAACGGAGGCGCUCAAAGGUUCUCUCAGUACGGUCGGAAAUCGUACGUAGAGUGUAAAGGCAAAAGAGAGCUUGAUUGCAAGACAUACAGGUCGAGCAAGGAUGAAAAUCGGACUUAGUGAUCCGGUGGUUCUGCGUGGAAGGGCCAUCGCUCAACGGAUAAAAGCUACCCUGGGGAUAACAGGCUUAUCUCCCCCAAGAGUCCACAUCGACGGGGAGGUUUGGCACCUCGAUGUCGGCUCAUCACAUCCUGGGGCUGUAGUAGGUCCCAAGGGUUGGGCUGUUCGCCCAUUAAAGUGGUACGCGAGCUGGGUUCAGAACGUCGUGAGACAGUUCGGUCCCUAUCCGUCGCAGGCGUAGGAAAUUUGAGAAGACCUGUCCUUAGUACGAGAGGACCGGGAUGGACGUACCUCUGGUGUACCAGUUGUUCUGCCAAGGGCAUGGCUGGGUAGCUAUGUACGGAAUGGAUAAGCGCUGAAAGCAUCUAAGCGCGAAGCCAACUUCAAGAUAAGAUUUCCCACCGCAAGGGUAAGACCCCAGAAAGACUAUCUGGUUGAUAGGUCGAAGGUGUAAGUGCAGCAAUGUAUUUAGCUUAUCGAUACUAAUAGGUCGAGGACUUGACCAA